UACGUAGGUGGCAAGCGUUGUCCGGAUUUACUGGGCGUAAAGAGCGCGCAGGCGGUCGUUCAAGUCGCGUGUGAAGGCCCCCGGCUCAACUGGGGAGGGUCACGCGAUACUGAUCGACUGGAAGGCAGGAGAGGGUAGUGGAAUUCCCGGUGUAGUGGUGAAAUGCGUAGAUAUCUGGAGGAACACCGGUGGCGAAAGCGGCUCACUGGACCGUCUCUGACGCUGAGGUGCGAAAGCUAGGGUAGCAAACGGG
rnacentral:rRNA from 1 species